GUCUGUGGCCAUAUCACCCUGAACGCACCCAGUCUUGUCUGAUCUCGGAAUCUAAGCAGGGUCAGGCCUGGUUAGUACUUGGAUGGGAGACCAUCUGGAAUUACCAGGUGCUGCAGGCU
ensembl:rRNA 5S_rRNA 5S ribosomal RNA